CAAAGGCUUGGUCCUGGCCUUGAAAUCAAUUUGUACUUAACUUACACAUGCAAGUAUCCGCACCCCUGUGAGAAUGCCCUUAACAUCCUUCUAGGAAUAAGGAGCCGGUAUCAGGCACACUAAUUUGCCCAAGACACCUAGCCAUGCCACACCCUCAAGGGAUCUCAGCAGUGAUUAACAUUGAAUAUAAGCGACAGCUCGAUUCAGUUAAAGUACAUAAAGCCGGCUAAUCUGGUGCCAGCCGCCGCGGUUACACCAAGGGGCUUAAGUUGACUUCAAUCGGCGUAAAGCGUGAUUAAAGUUAUUAAAAAAUAAAGUUAAACUACAACUAAGCCGUAGUACGCUUGUUUUUAGGAAAACCAUAAACGAAAGUUACUUUAUCUAAAACAACUUGAAUUCACGACAGCUAGGAAACAAACUGGGAUUAGAUACCCCACUAUGCCUAGCCGUAAACUUUAAAUUACACCAUAAUCGCCCGGGAACUACGAGCAAAGCUUAAAACCCAAAGGACUUGACGGUACCCCAUAUCCACCUAGAGGAGCCUGUCCUGCAAUUGAA
rnacentral:rRNA from 1 species